ACGGGUGAGUAAUGUCUGGGGAUCUGCCCGAUGGAGGGGGAUAACUACUGGAAACGGUAGCUAAUACCGCAUAACGUCGCAAGACCAAAGUGGGGGACCUUCGGGCCUCACACCAUCGGAUGAACCCAGAUGGGAUUAGCUAGUAGGUGGGGUAACGGCUCACCUAGGCGACGAUCCCUAGCUGGUCUGAGAGGAUGACCAGCCACACUGGAACUGAGACACGGUCCAGACUCCUACGGGAGGCAGCAGUGGGGAAUAUUGCACAAUGGGCGCAAGCCUGAUGCAGCCAUGCCGCGUGUAUGAAGAAGGCCUUCGGGUUGUAAAGUACUUUCAGCGGGGAGGAAGGGGUGAGGGUUAAUAACCUUCGUCAUUGACGUUACCCGCAGAAGAAGCACCGGCUAACUCCGUGCCAGCAGCCGCAGUAAUACGGAGGGUGCAAGCGUUAAUCGGAAUUACUGGGCGUAAAGCGCACGCAGGCGGUUUGUUAAGUCAGAUGUGAAAUCCCCGGGCUCAACCUGGGAACUGCAUUUGAAACUGGCAAGCUUGAGUCUCGUAGAGGGGGGUAGAAUUCCAGGUGUA
rnacentral:rRNA from 1 species